AAAAUCAGCAAUUGUUUAUUCUCAAAUCUGUCUGUCCCAUCAUUAGGACACAGGUGUUCACUCAUUGAACUGUAGUAGGCAGGCCUCACGCCUCACCAAUGCUUAGUCACCCUCUGCUUACUAGGGAACUGUAAGGCGCUCCCCAGCUUUCCUGUGCUCCUAUACUUCCCUUAUGAGAGGGAAAUCUCUGUUUCCUGUGGAGUGAUAUCAGGAAGAUUUCUUGGGGUCUGAAAUUCUUGAUGCUCCAGGGCUUCUAUGCCAUUGGGGUGUUGUUGCAUCCUCUCAAACAGGAUAAGCAUCUCACAGUGCGGAGUCUGUGGGAACAGGUCCACUGCCACAGCCUUGACUGGAUGGAAUGGGGUGCCUUUUACUCGGUUAGAUGGGGCCCUGCAGAGGCUGGUGGGAGAGAGGUACCAAUAUUAGCCCCUCAGAAAUUCCUCUAGGCAGCCGCAGAUGCUCUGCCCCACACACUUACUCCACAAAGUUGCCCAUGGCUGCCCUGGGGUUACAGGAAACAUACAGGAGUCGCUUGAUGUUCUCAGCUUUCCGGAUGGCCAGAAUCACCUUAGAAUCUAGCAAGUCAGAGCAGGUAGUGGGUGACUAUCCAACAUAGGUUCUUUUACUUCUGGUAUUGCCUCCCCCCAAAUGGAAGCCACUCACGUAGGCCAGCCCGUGGUGGGUCUAGAACAGCUACAAGUUGAUGGGAAGACAGUCUGCUCACCAAACCUGGCACCAGAUCCUCAGCCCUGCCACAGUGGAACUCAACAUUGCUCAGCUCUAGGGAUAAUCACAGUUCUCUAUGACUAUGGGCCUGCCAUUGGGAUGGCCUGGCAGGCUUACAUAGCACCCAGGCCAAAAUAACUUUUGAUCUGUUAUUUUUGCCUGUUAGAAGUCUACAGAUCUCUCAGCACCCCAUUCCUCAGAAGAUCCUUAAUAUCUCAAGACAUUGUAGGCGCAGUAAUUAAAGCACACAACAGGUUACUACUGUUCCAGAUGUGUGUGAUACAAAGGUUCUCACCAUUGGUGAGGGCGUUCAUCCGGGCAUCCUCCACAGCCUCCUGGCACAGUUCAAUUCCCACUACUCUCUUCACCUUCUGAAAUGGAAAGAUAGAUAAGCCCCAUUACUCUGGUUGCUUGGGAAAGAAAGACACAGCAUAACUGGUUAUGUUAGUGACAGGGUAGUAGUUUCAGCCUUCAGGUUCAUGAUAACAAAGUAGGGCGGUCUUACCUAGGGCUGGGAAGCUUACCGGAGCCAGGGCCAGGCCUAUGGUGCCAGUGCCACAGCACACGUCCAGCACUGUACUGCCCCCAUCUAGCUGUGCCCAUUCCUGGAUUACUGUGUAGAGCACCUCAGCUGCAGGUGUGUUUACCUGGAGAUUAGUUACCCAUGGAAUACUGCAGUGUAGGCUAGAGUCCCACAUUGCUCUGCUCCCAUUCUUUCUAUAUACCAGUGAUCUCACCCAGUCUCUUAAAAACCAAGUCCUUACAACAGACUCCCAUCAAUGGGGAGUUUUGCUCCCUGACUUCACAACUUCUCCCAGGGCAACUCAGAGUGAUUGCAUGCCUCAUGCUAGAGACCUUGGACUCUCUCCACCCUCUAUCUCCAUAGGGUUUUUUCAACAGUGAAAGUGAUUGAUCCUGUUCUGGGUUCCACAGAGUGCAAUAAGGCUGUGCAUUUCACUGGCUAACUGCAAAGAGGCCAAUCACUAGCAAAUAUCCCUUGUUAUCAUAUACCUUAUUCUGGGGCCCCCAGUACCUGAGUGUGUUCUAUAAAUCUUUGAUGCUAGUUACUGGCUUCCCUCCCUCUGUGUUUAUGCUCACAAGGGGUAUGCUACCUGGAAGAAUGCAUGAGGGGAGAUGCGGAAGGUCAGCCCUAGCAGGUCUUCCUGAAUGCACUGGUCGCCAGCCAUAUGCUCCAGGGGCAGGCCUUCCUGGCUGGGAGUCUUUCUAUACAAGAGAAAACAAAUCUGUCAGGGUCACUGGUCUGUCUGGCCCCUCCUGCCUCCACCUGGGCUCCUCACCUCUGUCCCUCCUCCACAAAGUAGAGGGAGGUCACCCCACUGGCCUUGCCUGGCCCCUCCAUGAAGUGGCACACCAGGGAGGCCUUUAGUCCUGCCACCUCCUCAGAGCUCAGUUUCUGUAGUAGAUGAUAUAAAACUCCCAUCAGGCUAUGCAAAAGCCAACCUAUACCAGACACAUCCCCCAACAGGACCACCACCUGAGACCUGGGGAUGGAAGUAGGCAAUGGCCAUGGCCUGGCCUCGGCUGCUGGUACGAACAGUCAGUUGCUUCCAGUGGCCUGUAUAUGUCUCAGGGUCAUAUGCCGAGUAUGGUGUGGAACUGAAGAAACCACAAAUAUACUCAGUGUGUGCCCAUCUGUCCUGGUACCUUGUCCCCUUACCCCACAUCCACAACUGCCAGUGCAGGGGCCACCCCCCUUGUCCCAGAUGGAUCAGGGACUUCCCAGAAGCCCAGCCCCAGGCAAGGUCCCCACCGGAUGAAUUCCUGGAAGGCCUUCACCACCUGCUUAGUGGCCUCUGGAAUGUGCACAGUGUCAAAGGGAGCUGCCACAGCACAUGUUCCACCCUUGUACUUGCCAAGCCGGCAGCCAACUGUGUUGUCCUUGCCGUCUACCCCAACUCCGACCAGGAAUUCACAUUUAUUACGAUAUUCAGUCUGUAGGAGUGUAGUAAAGAGUCAGAUCUCAACCUUGAUUACCCAGCACUGGAAGAAGAAAUACCAUAGUGAACAAAAGACCCAGAUUUGCCCAAGGGGUAACAGAACAAGAUUUUACUGCUGGCUUAUCAAACAUUGGGAAGAAAUGAAAAGCAAGAAAAAUAUCAAAGAGCAUAUGCAUAAUAAAAUUGACAUGAACAAGGGCCAGCCUCCCAAGCCCCCCCAUCCCCAUACACACAGAAUGGGAUUUCUCUGACCUGCUGGGGUGAUGGCUUGACCCCCUCCAGGGGGCAACAAGCUUUAUUGUGCUGUUGUCUCUGUAAAAGCAGCCAGGGUAGCAGGGCACGAUUAGUGUUCCCAAUUUCUCUGCAGGAUGAAAUACAUCAUGGUUGGAUUUAACACUGUUCCCCAUCCAUACUGGGCAAUUCAUUUGCGACCUCACUAUCCCUCUGUUGUGGGCCUUAUGAGUUCUUUCGUUGACCACUUCAGACUGGUGGUUCUCAACCUUCCUAAUGGUGCCUGUGAUCCUGUAAUCAUGUUGUGAUCCCCGACCAUAACAUUUUUUAAUUUUGUAGUUGUAAUCUGCUAAUGUUGUGAAUCAUGAUGUAAAUGUGUUUUCUGAUGGUCUUAGGCAACCCCUCUGAAAGUCUGGUGACCCACUGGUUCCCACCAAUGGUACAGAACCAUUGACAUAAACUCUGUGUGUAUCUUGAAUUGCUUACAUGGCUAAUGGACCAGGCCAAGAGCAAAACCCAGCUCUGCUUGGGAUGUCAGCACCACACUCACUUGGCCAGUUUCUGUAGCACCCGCUCACAUUCCAGUCGCUUCUGCUCCAGCUGCUCAGUGUAGGGCACUGUCCACAGAGGGGUCACCACAUCGGCAAUUUGUGUUACUGAUGGCUCACUAUCACCUUCUUGCCGCCUCUUCCUAGCCAUGGGGUCAGCCUUGGGUCGGGCCAGGCGUACGCUGAGCGGACAGCCUUUCCAGAGAGCACCGUGCAGCACUCGCAAGGCCUUGUCUCGUUCAGCAGCGCUUCGGAAUGUUACAAAGGCACAUGGUGGCUGUCCAAAGAGUUUGAUUUUGUGGGACUGUAGACCAAAACGGCCUAGAAAACGCCGGACGUCACUGAAGCUGGCGUGGCGAGGUACAUUUUGGAGCUCCAGUUUAAAGAUUUCUGAUGUGAACAAGUCAUCCCUUAUGUAGCUGUAGAGCCCAGGCUGCGUUCCAGGCCCUGCAGCUGGCCCAGGCCCUGCUUCCUCUUUUUGACAUAGUGGGGCCGCAGAGCUGGGUACAGCACUGGCAUCCUGGCCGCAGUCCUCCAUGGGCUCCGGAACCUACGUGGGAACAGACGGGCCUGGCUGAAGGCUCUAAUUGUAAUGACUGCUGCCCCAACCCACCUCCGCCCACCCCGUCCACAUCUCCUGCACGUCUCCCUUUGCUUUACUUCCGCGGCCGGCUCACUCAUCUCCUGGCUCGUCUGUUGCCCGGACCAGGGUGCUCACGAGGACCACCGGCUCGGCCUCCCACCCAACAAGGGCGCAGAUACGAGGUACGCCGCCGUGAAGGUAGACCGCAGCUCCACACAGGGACUCAAAACUCGGGUGCUCAGAGCUGGGACUGAGGUUUGCGGAUGCACUGUCCCCAAGGGCCACACGCUGCGCCUGCCUUCGGCUGGCCAGCGCACACUAGCUGCGUCUCCUCUCUCUAAGGGCUUGGUUCCGAU
rnacentral:lncRNA from 1 species